rnacentral:rRNA from 1 species
UUAGUCAAUGCUCGCAAGAGUGAACUAGCUAACUGAAAUCAUACUUGUGUCAAGUGUGAUAACGUAAGGGAAGAUAAUGACAUUACCUUACUAUUAGUGUUGUCCAAAACUGGUGCCAGAAGACUCGGUAAGGCCAGAGACGCAAACGUUAAUCGUCCUAAUCAGGCGUAAAGGGUGUGUAGGCAGCUUUAAAAUUUUAGAUUUAUUACUUAAAUUCUUUUGUUUUUAUAUAUUUAAAAGUCUAAAUUUAUUUAAUGUAGACUAAUUAAUUCUUAAUAAUUAAUUAAAGUAAAGAAAAAAUAAAUAAAAGCUAGAAUCAAAUAGAGGAUAUUUAAAUAAUACUUAGAGGAGGGGUGAUAUCCUUAGAUACUAAGUAGAAUAUUAAUGGUGAAAGCUUUUAUCUACUAAUGAUUGACGCUGAGAAACGAAGGUGAGGAUAGGAAAUAGGAUUAGAUACCCAGAUACCCCUCUCUGUCAACGAUGAAUGGUGGUUGCUAAUUAUAUAAAUUAAUUGGUGGCGAUGUUAACACGAUAACCAUUCCGCCAUGUGAGUACGACUGCAAAGUUGAAAACAAAAAAAUUAGUCGGUCUCGAAGCAAACGAAGUGAAGCAUGUUAUUUAAU